GUAGAGAAAGGUGUAUUGUAGA
rnacentral:miRNA from 1 species